rnacentral:rRNA from 1 species
CACGACUACAUUAGAUACCCGGGUAGUCCCAGCCGUAAACUAUGCGCGUUAGGUGUAUCGGUGACCACGAGUUACCGAGGUGCCGAAGGGAAACCGUGAAACGUGCCGCCUGGGAAGUACGGUCGCAAGGCUGAAACUUAAAGGAAUUGGCGGGGAGCACCACAACAGGUGGAGCCUGCGGUUUAAUUGGACUCAACGCCGGGAAGCUCACCGGAUAGGACAGCAGAAUGAUUGCCGGGCUGAAGACUCUGCAUGACUAGCUG